UACGUAGGGUGCGAGCGUUAAUCGGAAUUACUGGGCGUAAAGUGUGCGCAGGCGGCGUUGCAAGUCGAGUGUGAAAUCCCCGAGCUUAACUUGGGAAUUGCGCUCGAAACUACGAUGCUCGAGUGUGGCAGAGGAAGGUGGAAUUCCACGUGUAGCGGUGAAAUUCGUAGAUAUUGGGAAGAACACCGGUGGCGAAGGCGGCAUCCUGGACCGGCAUUGACGCUGAGGCGCGAAAGCCAGGGGAGCAAACGGG
rnacentral:rRNA from 1 species